AUGUAUGCAGAGCCCCACUGUCGCAAGAAUGGACAAGGAAAAGGGGAAGUAGAGGAGGAGGAGGAGGAGAAGGAGAGAAGCUUGGUGUCCAUUAUGAAGACUAAGCCGCUUGUCCCAGGAAGUGGAAGGGCAAGGGCAAGGGUUGUGUCGCUGCCAAGGAAGCGGGCCAAGGAUUACGGCAAUGUCCCGCUCGCCGAGUUGUUAUUAAGGGCAAUGGAGCAUGAUAAGCAAGCGGAGAAGGAUUAUGAAGAGGAGGAAGAGAAUGGGGAGGACGAGGAUGAGCAAGGUACUCUGUUUGAGGAGGAAGAUUCUCAUUUUGAUGUCAAAGCGCUAAGUGUUAUGCUAUGCAAAAUUGCAUUGUUUGGCUCUCAACGUUCAAUAUUUUUGCUGUAUAAAGUUCAAAGGAGGAGCUGUCCAAAAUUCAAAAGCAAUGAUGCCCAAUUCUUUCUUAGUCAUAUUUGUUCCAUUUCUACACUUUGCAUAGAGGAAAGCUUAUUUUUUUCAUCACUAUGA
rnacentral:rRNA from 1 species